rnacentral:rRNA from 1 species
GAUGAACGCUGGCGGCGUGCCUAAUACAUGCAAGUCGAGCGAACGGACGAGAAGCUUGCUUCUCUGAUGUUAGCGGCGGACGGGUGAGUAACACGUGGAUAACCUACCUAUAAGUCUGGGAUAACUUCGGGAAACCGGAGCUAAUACCGGAUAAUAUUUUGAACGGCAUGGUUCAAAAGUGAAAGACGGUCUUGCUGUCACUUAUAGAUGGAUCCGCGCUGCAUUAGCUAGUUGGUAAGGUAACGGCUUACCAAGGCAACGAUGCAUAGCCGACCUGAGAGGGUGAUCGGCCACACUGGAACUGAGACACGGUCCAGACUCCUACGGGAGGCAGCAGUAGGGAAUCUUCCGCAAUGGGCGAAAGCCUGACGGAGCAACGCCGCGUGAGUGAUGAAGGUCUUCGGAUCGUAAAACUCUGUUAUUAGGGAAGAACAUAUGUGUAAGUAACUGUGCACAUCUUGACGGUACCUAAUCAGAAAGCCACGGCUAACUACGUG